GGUGUUGGGUGGAGCCUGAGGGUGGCCAUGGCAACAGAGGCGGGGUCGCUCUGGUUCGAGCAGGAGGUUUUGGGGGCUCCAGGCCCCACCCCCGGGGACCCGCUGGCCCCGCCCCCCAUCCUGUGGCCAAUCAUCACCACCAACACCUACCAGCAGGUCAGCAGCGACAUCCUUGGAGGAGCCUCAGGAUUGCUCCCUGCAGCGAUCCCUGCUCCAGCCUUGCAAUAUAGAGCAAAAAAAAACAGGGAAUGCUCCGUGCCUGCAGCUCUCCCGCU